GAUGAAGAACGCAGCGAAAUGCGAUAAGUAAUGUGAAUUGCAGAAUUCAGUGAAUCAUCGAAUCUUUGAACGCACAUUGCGCCCUCUGGUAUUCCGGGGGGCAUGCCUGUUCGAGCGUCAUUAUAACCACUCAAGCUUUCGCUUGGUAUUGGGGCUCGCGGUUCCGCGGCCCCUAAAAUCAGUGGCGGUGCCUGUCGGCUCUACGCGUAGUAAUACUCCUCGCGAUUGAGUCCGGUAGGCCUACUUGCCAGCAACCCCCAAUUUUUACAGGUUGACCUCGGAUCAGGUAGGGAUACCCGCUGAACUUAAGCAUAUCAAUAAGCGGAGGA
rnacentral:misc_RNA from 1 species